rnacentral:hammerhead_ribozyme from 1 species
GUCCAAAUGACGAGUCCAAAAUAGGACGAAAUGUGCAUCAUGGAU